rnacentral:rRNA from 1 species
CAGCAGCCGCGGUAAUACAGAGGGUGCGAGCGUUAAUCGGAUUUACUGGGCGUAAAGCGUGCGUAGGCGGCUUUUUAAGUCAGAUGUGAAAUCCCUGAGCUUAACUUAGGAAUUGCAUUCGAUACUGGGAAGCUAGAGUAUGGGAGAGGAUGGUAGAAUUCCAGGUGUAGCGGUGAAAUGCGUAGAGAUCUGGAGGAAUACCGAUGGCGAAGGCAGCCAUCUGGCCUAAUACUGACGCUGAGGUACGAAAGCAUGGGGAGCAAACAGGAUUAGAUACCCCCGUAGUCCCUGUCUCUUAUAC